UACGUAGGGUGCAAGCGUUAAUCGGAAUUACUGGGCGUAAAGCGUGCGCAGGCGGUUGUGCAAGACAGAUGUGAAAUCCCCGGGCUCAACCUGGGAACUGCGUUUGUGACUGUAUGACUAGAGUACGGUAGAGAGGGUGGAAUUCCUGGUGUAGCAGUGAAAUGCGUAGAUAUCAGGAGGAACAUCGAUGGCGAAGGCAGCCCCUUGGACCUGUACUGACGCUCAUGCACGAAAGCGUGGGAGCAACAGG
rnacentral:rRNA from 1 species